UCUUUGUAGUAAUACAAGGCAGACGGCUCAGUAACACGUAGUCAACCUACCCUAUGGACAAGAAUAAUCUCGGGAAACUGGGCAUAAUUCUUGAUAGAUCAUAAUGCCUGGAAUGGUUUAUGGUUAAAAUGAUUCGUCGCCAUAGGAUGGGACUGCGGCCUAUCAGCUUGUUGGUGAGGUAAUGGCCCACCAAGGCGAUUACAGGUACGGGCUCUGAGAGGAGAAGCCCGGAGAUGGGUACUGAGACACGGACCCAGGCCCUAUGGGGCGCAGCAGGCGAGAAAACUUUGCAAUGUGCGAAAGCACGACAAGGUUAAUCCGAGUGAUUUCUGCUAAAGAAAUCUUUUGCCAGUCAUAAAACCACUGGUGAAUAAGGGGUGGGCAAGUUCUGGUGUCAGCCGCCGCGGUAAAACCAGCACCUCAAGUGGUCAGGAUGAUUAUUGGGCCUAAAGCAUCCGUAGCCGGCUUUGUAAGUUUUCGGUUAAAUCCAUGUGCUCAACGCAUGGGCUGCCGAAAAUACUGCAUGGCUAGGGAGUGGGAGAGGUAGACGGUACUCAGUAGGAAGGGGUAAAAUCCUUUGAUCUAUUGAUGACCACCUGUGGCGAAGGCGGUCUACCAGAACACGUUCGACGGUGAGGGAUGAAAGCUGGGGGAGCAAACCGGAUUA
rnacentral:rRNA from 1 species